UCUUUCCUGUCAGUCAUACUUGAUCCAAUGUUCUUGUAAUCUUCAAAGCUCUGUUUGCUCUUGCCAAGGCAUCUUGGUUAUCAAACUGCAUAUGCUAAUUAAAUCUACAGUACUAUGAGUCUCAUUUACAACACCUGACAUCAUCAG